ACAGAAAAACUGGACACUAAGGAAGCUAAAUUCCAUUCCUCCAAAGCAUCUGGUUCCUCCUAGAAGUUUCCUGACUUCUGUGGGCAAAAUGUGAUGACAAAGGCUCACAGCUACUAAUGUGCCUAACUUGCAAGAAAGAAACUUUGAAAUGACCAGUCUACCUUUUAUUCUUUGUUUCCACUAUCUUCAACAUCUUUUGGUCUAUAAAACCAACUUUCUCUGCUCCGCUCAUUGGAACACAAUCCAUUUUAAGGUCUUUGUAGUCUCCUGUGGGCUGAAGCAAGGACUCCAGGCUAUCCUCUGAUGAAAGUGAGUUGACAGACUUCACCAACAUAUU